GAUGCCUACCACGGCAUGGCUUUAUAAGCGGUGCGUAUGUCUGCACCCGGGAUCUAAACCAGUGAAACCUGGGCCGCUGAAGUGGAACGUGCGAACUUAACUGCUGCGCCGAGGGGCUGGCCCCUUCCCAUACGUCUUGAGUACUUUAAACUCUUAGAACCACUGCGUGUGCAGGGGCUUCAAUGGCAGCCUUGCUGCCCGUCCCAGAAUCCCACAAUGGCGGGAAUUCUUGGGGAGAUACCUGGAUCAGUCAGUAGAGGCGGGUGGGGAGCUGAGAUCUUGGGUCCACAAGUGACCAACAAGCUGAGGUCACAAAGGCUACAGAAAUUGCUCUGUAUUAGAAAUGAACUGGAAUCGGGUGAGAAGAGGAGCUGGCAAAAUAGCACAAGGUUGGAGACAAGGGGAAUGAAAACGGGGGUGGAGAAGAAGAAAACCCACCACAGUGGGAUGGCCACUGGCUUCAAAGAACAAGAGCACCCGCACUCAGUUUGAGACUGCUUCUGCCACAGAGAGCCGGGUGGCUGGGCGGCUUUGCUGUGUGAACGGGAUUCAAUGGAAAGGGCUGCCUUCUGUCAGGGUGCAGAACGGGAGCAGCACUCCUGGAACGUCUGGGUGAACCACACAGAGAGCAAGAGCAGGGACCCAGCGGUGGUCGUGAGAACACAAGCCCCUCAGGUCUUAUGGACACAUGGGCAAAACUUUGGACUUCCAUGUGGGCAGAUGGGAGUUUGUGCCCACAAAUCCAGGUCUCAGGAGCCUGGGAGAGGCCAGCGUAUAUCUGAGUUACACAAGAAGGCUCCAGGGCCAUGAGGCUGCAGUUUGGCAGGACCUUUAGCUGCAAAAGAAAGCACAACUCACAUGUCUGUCCAACUAUCUCUGACCACAAAACGGAAUGUAACUGCAUUUUUGUCCAACCGUAUUUUGGGGACCUCCAACCUGAUGAUUAUGAAACCAAG
rnacentral:lncRNA from 1 species